rnacentral:rRNA from 1 species
UACGUAGGGGGCAAGCGUUGUCCGGAUUCAUUGGGCGUAAAGAGCGUGUAGGCGGCCAGGUAGGUCGGUUGUGAAAACUGGAGGCUCAACCUUCAGAGGUCGACCGAAACCAUCUGGCUAGAGUCCGGGAGAGGAGAGUGGAAUUCCUGGUGUAGCGGUGAAAUGCGCAGAUAUCAGGAAGAACACCGGUGGCGAAGGCGGUUCUCUGGGCAUGACCUGACGCUGAGGAGCGAAAGUGUGGGGAGCGAACAGG